rnacentral:rRNA from 1 species
GUGAGGAAUAUUGGUCAAUGGGCGGAAGCCUGAACCAGCCAUGCCGCGUGCAGGAAGACGGCCCUACGGGUUGUAAACUGCUUUUCCGGGGGAAGAAUAAUCCCGACGUGUCGGGAGACGACGGUACCCCGGGAAUAAGGAUCGGCUAACUCCGUGCCAGCAGCCGCGGUAAUACGGAGGAUCCGAGCGUUAUCCGGAUUUACUGGGUUUAAAGGGUGCGUAGGCGGGCGCUUAAGUCAGCGGUGAAAUGCGGGGGCUCAACCUUCGAACGGCCGUUGAUACUGGGCGCCUUGGAUUCGGUCGAGGCGGGCGGAAUGCGACAUGUAGCGGUGAAAUGCUUAGAUAUGUCGCAGAACGCCGAUUGCGAAGGCAGCUCGCCGGGCCGAGAUUGACGCUGAGGCACGAAAGCGUGGGGAUCGAACAGGAUUAGAAACCCUAGUAGUCC